UGGGCGAAAGCCUGAUCCAGCAAUGCCGCGUGAGUGAUGAAGGCCUUAGGGUUGUAAAGCUCUUUUACCAGGGAUGAUAAUGACAGUACCUGGAGAAUAAGCUCCGGCUAACUCCGUGCCAGCAGCCGCGGUAAUACGGAGGGAGCUAGCGUUGUUCGGAAAUACUGGGCGUAAAGCGAACGUAGGCGGUCUAGUAAGUCAGGGGUGAAAUCCCGGAGCUCAACUCCGGAACUGCCCUUGAAACUACUAAACUAGAAUCCUGGAGAGGUCAGUGGAAUUCCGAGUGUAGAGGUGAAAUUCGUAGAUAUUCGGAAGAACACCAGUGGCGAAGGCGACUGACUGGACAGGUAUUGACGCUGAGGUUCGAAAGCGUGGGGAGCAAACAGGAUUAGAUACCCUGGUAGUCCACGCCGUAAACGAUGAUAACUAGCUGUCCGGGCUCAUAGAGCUUGGGUGGCGCAGCUAACGCAU
rnacentral:rRNA from 1 species